rnacentral:rRNA from 1 species
UACGAAGGGGGCUAGCGUUGCUCGGAAUCACUGGGCGUAAAGGGUGCGUAGGCGGGUCUUUAAGUCAGGGGUGAAAUCCUGGAGCUCAACUCCAGAACUGCCUUUGAUACUGAAGAUCUUGAGUCCGGGAGAGGGGAGUGGAACUGCGAGUGUAGAGGUGAAAUUCGUAGAUAUUCGCAAGAACCCCAGUGGCGAAGGCGGCUCACUGGCCCGGUACUUACGCUGAGGCACGAAAGCGUGGGGAGCAAACAGG